UACGAAGGGUGCAAGCGUUACUCGGAAUUACUGGGCGUAAAGCGUGCGCAGGCGGCUUUGCAAGACAGAUGUGAAAUCCCCGGGCUCAACCUGGGAACUGCAUUUGUGACUGCAUGGCUUGAGUGCGGCAGAGGGGGAUGGAAUUCCGCGUGUAGCAGUGAAAUGCGUAGAUAUGCGGAGGAACACCGAUGGCGAAGGCAAUCCCCUGGGCCUGCACUGACGCUCAUGCACGAAAGCGUGGGGAGCAAACAGG
rnacentral:rRNA from 1 species